CAAUAGCCCCGAUAGCAGUGAAAAUCCUUUUAUGUUUUUUUUUAACAUAAAAGAUUGCAACGGAUAGCGGGAUUCCUG
rnacentral:sRNA from 1 species